rnacentral:rRNA from 1 species
GAAUCUGCCCUUAGGAAAAGAAUAACUUCUGGAAACGGUUGCUAAAUCUUUAUAUGUCGAGAGAUGAAAUAGCUUAGGCUGCCUAAGGAUGAGCUCACGCCUGAUUAGCUUGUUGGUGAGGUAAAGGCUCACCAAGGCCACGAUCAGUAGCUGGUUUGAGAGAACGACCAGCCACACUGGGACUGAGACACGGCCCAGACUCCUCCGGGAGGCAGCAGUGAGGAAUUUUCCGCAAUGGGCGAAAGCCUGACGGAGCAAUACCGCGUGAGGGAUGAAGGAUUUUGGUCUGUAAACCUCUUUUCUCAAGAAAGAAGUUCUGACGGUACUUGAGGAAUAAGCAUCGGCUAACUCCGUGCCAGCAGCCGCGGUAAUACGGGGGAUGCAAGCGUUAUCCGGAAUGAUUGGGCGUAAAGCGCCAGUAGGUUGUUUAUUAAGUCCGUUGUUAAAGCCUAGGGCUUAACCCUAGAAAAGCAAUGGAAACUAGUAGACUAGAGUAUGGCAGGGGUAGAGGGAAUUUCUAGUGUAGCGGUGAAAUGCGUAGAUAUUAGAAAGAACACCGGUGGCGAAAGCACUCUACUGGACCAUUACUGACACUCAGAGGCGAAAGCUAGGGUAGCA